rnacentral:rRNA from 1 species
GACAGAGGGGGCAAGCGUUGCUCGGAAUUACUGGGCGUAAAGGGCGCGUAGGCGGGAUGGCAAGUCGGUCGUGAAAUCCCUCGGCUCAACCGAGGAACGUCGAUCGAUACUGCUGUUCUUGAGGAUUGCAGAGGAGACUGGAAUUCCCGGUGUAGCGGUGAAAUGUGUAGAGAUCGGGAGGAACACCGGUGGCGAAGGCGGCGCUCUGGAACGUACCUGACGCUGAGA